rnacentral:rRNA from 1 species
UGGUGGAGUGAUUUGUCAGGUUAAUUCCGAUAACGAACGAGACCUUAACCUGCUAACUAGUCAGACUGGCUACGGCUGGUCUCUGACUUCUUAGAGGGACUAUCAGCGUCUAGCUGAUGGAAGUUUGAGGCAAUAACA